AAGAUCGAUAGAACAAAAAACGAAGCAAGCAGUCACUGCACCCGGUAUACUAAGGUGGGUAUUAUCAGGAUUUAAUAUUUCAGGCCUCCCCAAUUUUUAAUACGAAAAGAAGUCUCCUGAAAAAAAAGCAAUUUUCUGAUGUUUGAAAGCACUCCCCCCUUACUGGCUGAGAUCGAUCACGUGGCCAUUCGUGAUGAGACUGUAUCCACUGAUGCUGGGAUUGAGCCCCUGGCCCCAUGUAACCCUAGCAACCCUGACCAACCAGCACCGUUUGGAUUCAUCACUGAGAACCUCUACAUAUCUCCAGUGCUGUAUGUAUCAAAAGACAGGAAGCGUGCCAAGCGAAUGGUUUGCGAGUGUCAAUUUGAUCCAGAAAUGGAUGAUCCUGAAGAAGCUUGUGGAGAAAACUGUCUCAACAGAGUGUUAAUGAUCGAGUGUGGUUCAAGAUGUCCGUGCGGAGAGUACUGCACUAAUAAAAGAUUCCAGAGAGCCAAUUAUGCUAAUGUGAAGGUAUUCAAGACAGAGAAUAAAGGCUGGGGACUGAGGGCCUGCAAAGACAUUCGACCUGGCGAGUUUGUGAUGGAGUACUGCGGUGAGGUGUGCACGCUGACAGACUUUGAGGCACGGAAAGUAGAAUAUGUGAGGGACAAGAGGAGGCACUACUACUUUAUGUCUCUCAGAACUGAUGAGAUUCUGGAUGCAACUAGCAAGGGCAACUAUUCCCGCUACAUCAAUCACAGCUGUGAUCCUAAUUGUGAGACUCAGAAGUGGACUGUGGGGGGCCGUCUGAGAAUAGGAUUUUUCUCAAUCAAGAGAGUGAGAGAGAAUGAGGAGCUCACCUUCGACUACAAGUUUAAGAGGUUUGGUAACCAGGCUCAGAAGUGCUACUGUGGUAGUGCUAGUUGUCGUGGAUACAUUGGCCAAUCAAAACAGAACUCUACCACCUCGCUUAAAGUGCUCUCAUCAGCUCAAGGCCCCACCUCCCCCCGUAGCCCUAGAGAGAGGAGACGUGGUCGCAUCAGACUGCUCAGUGAUGCUGACAAUGCUUUUGAGAAGGAGGUAUACUCAAUAGUGGGUUCCAGCUGGCGCCUGAGAGGCAGUGUGCAGGUGCUCUCUCUGUCCAGGAUAAUGCUACAGGCUGAGACCACCAGUCAGAGGGGCAUGCUCUUGCAGGUAUUGUUAGCUACCAAGGAUACUGGAUGCCUAAAAAAGUUCCUCUCCCUUCAAGGACUGCGGCUGCUUUGGUCGUGGAUGAUUGACUCGGGGGAUAGUGACACUGAUGACAUCAUUAAUUUCAGAAUACAGAUGUUACAAGUGCUGGAUCACCUUCCCUUGACAACCAGGAAUCAGUUAGAAGAGAACAAGCUGUUACCGGUAGUCAGGAAGUGGAGAGAGAGACCUCCUACAAAGACGAGGCAGGAGCAUUGUCCUAAGGAAAAUGAACCUGUACAGCCAACGGUUCCAACUUCCACAACCUCAGACGAUCACUUUGACAGAAUUAUUGUGACUGAAGCUGAUAGUGCACAGAGUGAGGGCAUAUGCUCUGAAGGAGCAACUCUUCCAUUGUCUAUGCCUGAAGGAGACCCAGUGGGCAAUACAGAGAAAAUGGAUGAUAGCUGUGAAGCAGAAGCCCGAUAUCUAACCUCUGAUCACUCUCAAGACAGCGACUCUGGAGAACCAAAUCACAUGUAUGUGGGAGAUCACACACCGCCAUAUCAAUCUCCUAGAAGUAGCCAAGAGGAGUCUACUCCUAGAGAGUUAUCUCCUGGAGGGCUGGAUACCUUGCAAGAGCCUGAAGAUGAGUGUUGUUUGUCUCCAGUAACCAUCACUGAAGUACAAGAACCAGAGGAACUAGAGCGCAGAGUUGAACAAGAUGAACAACAUUCACCUACGCAUUCUCAGGGUCGCUAUGUUCAAGAACAGUCAGCAGUGCAAGUACACUCCCCUGAUGACGGGCAGGUGCUAUCACAAGUGCAAGACGAAUCCAGAGAUCUUACGCCAUCACCAGAUGAUAAGCAAUCUGCUGCUCCAACUGAAACUACUCUUGAUUCAGUAGAUGAGUUGUCUGACAAUGACGGGGUAGGUGGUCCGCCAAAAUUCAACUCAGAACUACUUUCUACACAAGAAAAGUCAAUCCAGUCUUCAGAAGAAUGUAUUAACGAGCAAGUUGUCUCCCAAACUGACCAGUUCAAGGACCUUUUUUCCGAAAAUAAUUUGCUUCAAGUACAUUCUAGGGGGCAAACGAAAGAGUUGGAGUGUGAGGAUGAGCAUCCUGUGGUGUGUGGUAGCAGAGAUAAGCUAGUGUCAAUGGCUGAGCAACUAGUUGAGAAGUGGGAAGGCUUAAAGGAAGUAUUUCGUAUACCCAAGAGAGCGCAAAAGAGCAAGACUGCCAGUACAGAGGAGAGCUCUAAUGAGGGAGGGACCACUGAUGGAGACGGCUGGGAUGAUCUACCACAGCCACCACGGAAAAGGUCCCGGAGACCAUCUCCCGAGAGAACAUGGUCACGCAAACUAAAAAGUUCCCCUUUUCAAUCUCGUCACUCCACUCACCCCCGCCCACACAACACCAGCGGAGGCUCACACUACACACCCUCCACACCUCCACAACCUCACACUCUACCCAUGUACUCAACUGGGUUCACGGCUGGUGGUCCAGUUCAGAACACUGUAAUUGUGCAGCACCCCGGUCAAGGUGUUUACGUCCAGCAGCAUGUAUUCAAGGACAGUUGUCACACGACGGUUCUCCCAGCCCAGCAGUACCUCCAUGCUCCACCGCCCACCUCUCAGUUUGUGCAGGUCCACCACCAAGCCCCAGGAACCAUUAUAUCACAGCAAGGAUUACCCCCCACACAACAAAGCGUUUUGAUUGGUCUUACUCAGCAAUCUCUCUUACCCCAAUCAGUUCAAGGAGCUUCUCUACCACACAACACCCAGGUGGUCCUGGGACCUCCCGGCGGUGCACAGCAAGUGGUACCCUCCAUGCAACAAGGUGUAUCCACCUAUACCCUUCCUCAAUCCUCAUCACUCGUAGGUUCUGUGCAGCAAGCAUCGUACCUUGGAUACCAGGCCCCUAGAGUAAUCCUGCCUCAGUCUGGUACCACAACACAGCCCCUUCUGCAAGCAACUGGUCUGGGGAACCAACAUCUACAAUACAACUCACAGGUCUACAUGCCAACACAGUCCGGCCCAACCUUGUUCAGUCAGUCCGUCUCCUCCAAUCUACCACCGACCUCCACUGUGUCACUGAUGGAACCAGCUCUAUCCCUUGCUCCCCUACCUCCUCCUCCUCCUAAUGAGGGUGGUGUGGGUCUUCCUCUGAAUUGGAAAACUGCUCAUGAUCAAACCGGGAAAGCAUACUACUAUCAUGUGAUCACUCGUAAGACGCAGUGGGAGCGGCCCACUGACAAAGAUGCCGAAGGGACAAUCAUCAUGGACCUUGGCACUCCAGAACCAGACUCUGACAAAGAACAGGACGAGGUUGAUUUCAAAAGGGGGCCCAGAACACCCAUUGACAGCCGUCGCCCACAUACUCCAGAUGAAACCCCUCCCCUUUCUCCCACUGGGCCUCGUACUCCUUCCAGUCCCACUCCUCAUUCAUCCAUAAGUACCACAACCACCAGUGCCAAUCCUGAACCUAACUCUCCCACAACCCAUCCAUCAGAAUAUAUCAAAGCAAGCAUGGAAACAAGUUUUAUAUCUGAAGAUGAACCCACCGGUACCCUUGAGUCUGAUUCCAAAACCACAGACUGCAUGUCCAGUUCAGUAAAUGAAGAAAACAGUCCAACGUAUUCAGAACAAUACAGUAUGACUCCCUCGCCAAUGGCUAGGUCUUCGUCUCCUCAUGAUCACUCGACUAGUAAGAAGCGUUCCUCUCGUAAAAAACGGCGAUCCAAAGAGCAUGUGUUGAAAGAGUCGUUUCGCCAUAAGGUUUCAAAGUUAGUGACACAAUGCUUGGACCAGCACAGAAAACCAGACUGCAAAUACGGCAGAAUCACUUGUGUAGAAGAUUUUAAGCACUUAGCGAGAAAGGCCAGAAUCAGAACCUGAAUCGCAGGGAAGUGGAUAAUGAUCGACGUAAAAACAAUUGAAGUUCAAGGCUAAAAUUAUAAUGGCUCCAUCAGCAGAGCCUUGCAGCUCUCUUCUCACUCUUGCAGCUACUAAUAAUUAGCGUUCCAGUGCAGAGCUGCCUACUAAGUAGAGUUGCAACAUUCCAUGGACAAGUUUUUCUACGCACUCUUCUGAAAAGGCUGCAAUGGCAUUCCAAUUGAGCCAUGGGUUGACUGAGAAAGAGAUUUCCAGGAAGGGUGGAUUGGACAAGGUAGCGCUAACAGACUCUGUACGAACCAAGGCAAAGGAGUACAUCAGGCAUUACAUGAAGAAAUUUGGGGCAGUCUAUGUACGGAAC